rnacentral:piRNA from 2 species
UGACUGCCAGGAGCUUGAUUCAAAC